UAGGGAAUCUUCGGCAAUGGGGGGAACCCUGACCGAGCAACGCCGCGUGAGUGAAGAAGGUUUUCGGAUCGUAAAGCUCUGUUGUUAAGGAAGAACGAGUGUGAGAAUGGAAAGUUCAUGCUGUGACGGUACUUAACCAGAAAGGGACGGCUAACUACGUGCCAGCAGCCGCGGUAAUACGUAGGUGGCAAGCGUUGUCCGGAUUUAUUGGGCGUAAAGCGAGCGCAGGCGGUUAGAUAAGUCUGAAGUUAAAGGCAGUGGCUCAACCAUUGUAGGCUUUGGAAACUGUUUAACUUGAGUGCAGAAGGGGAGAGUGGAAUUCCAUGUGUAGCGGUGAAAUGCGUAGAUAUAUGGAGGAACACCGGUGGCGAAAGCGGCUCUCUGGUCUGUAACUGACGCUGAGGCUCGAAAGCGUGGGUAGCAAACAGG
rnacentral:rRNA from 1 species